CUAUAGGGCAAUUGGCACUUUUAAGAAGCUCCUCUGGCGUCCUUUGAGAACACCAGUCCCGAGCGCCGAAGCAUUCCGGUGGUUCUUUUAAGCAGAUCUAUAUCUUAUUUUCAAGGCACUCUGAAGUGAUUGACAAGCACUGGUCUUGUUUUGGGAACUGCAAAGUCCAUGACUGAAGAAUAUACUGAGACACUAUUUUCGUCUGUGUACAGGGGUUUCCUCAAAAGAAAAAAAUAUGAAUAAUAUAAAAAAAAUCAUAAAAAAAUUCACUGGAGCCUGGCUGGUUUACCUAUGUUUAGUACACAGGUUCUUUCUUUAUGUACUUAGCUAUAAUUAACAGUGAAAUUGUUGUCUACUUUAAAGUGACUGCAAAAGGAAAGGUUUGGGUAAACCCCUACUGUAAUAUGAUGUAUCUUUGAAAAAAAAUUAACAUAUCUAUACUUCAUUUCCAAAUAUGUGUUUCAGUACUGUAAACUGUACAGAUAGCAGCUUGUAUUUUGUGCGUUUAGACACGAGGAGACAAUCAUGUCUGAGCAUCUAUAUGAAGAUUAACAGUUUGUACGCAGCAGUGAGGUUCUGCAACUUAAAUCUGGAGCAAUAAAUUCUAGCUUUAAACAUUAUUUUGCCAGCUGGUUAGUCACAGCAGCAACAGCACUGUCUUUUAUUUUAUUUAUUCUCAUUUUGUUUUCUUUUUUUGUUUUGUUUUUUUUUGUUUUACAUUUUUGUUUUGUUUUGCUCUGUAUACAUUCCCAUGGGCUUAAUUUACAGAAUGUUCUUCAAGGUCAAAAAAAUUGUACUGCAUCCGUUGACUACUCCCAAAGAAGCCAACUGUAUGGAGAGUAUUAGCUGCCAAUCUUGGCUCUACUCUCAUGUUUCCGAGGUCCUCCUUCUUUUUAUGGACCUGAGGCACAAUCCAGACAAAACGUUCUGACCUUUAUGCACUUGUGUUUU